GUGAAUGCUAGAGCGGAUGUGGGGAAAGGAAGGCUCCUCCGCUGUUCUGGGAAUGCAAACUGUUGACAGUCCACGGAGAACACGAGAGCUCUAAAAAAGAGCUACCCUGUGAUCUAUCCGUUCCACUCCUGGGUGUCUACAGGAAGAAAACCAGGAUUCAAAAAGACACACGCAACUCGCCACUCAGCACAGCACUAAUUUACACAAGCCAAAAGAGGGAAGCAACCACCAUGUCCACGAACAGAAGAAUGGGACCUAGACACGAUGGAAUAUUGCUCAGGCAGAAAGGAGAGUGAAAUAAUGCCGCUGGCAGCACCCUGAGUGGAUCUAGAGGAUCACGGAAAUAGGAGGCACAUGACGGCAGAGGUGGAGAGGUGGGCAGCAGUCUGUUCCUGCCGGAUAGGAGAGCGUGGUGCAGACUUCAAAGUCAUCUCACUUAAAGCCUGCUAAUUAGCACCAUGAGAAAGAAAUUCUGAAAGUCCUUGAUAAACUAUUUCUUCCCACUAUUCCCGACUGCUGCUAUACAGCCCUCCAGCUCAAGCUGGCGCUGGGUAAAGCAUUAUUGCAGCGUUGUUUAUAACAGAGGAACUUGGCGGGGACCCUUCAUGUCCACCCAUAGGACAAAGGCAGAAUCACAGAUAAACCUGCAUGUGAUGACAAGGACAUCCAGCAGUUAAAAGGAAUUCACAUGCCUGUACAUCUGAAUAGAUCCUAAAGACACUGCUGACAAAGCUCAAAGUGCAUGAGGAUAUUCAUCCCGAUCUCUAUUAGGAGGAAAUGCCUCAUGUGUAUUAACGAACAAGCAUACAGAUCUAAAAGUAGCCUGGCCUGCACCCCCCAGCUCGUUCUUUCCCUUGCCUGGUUCUCUGGUUGGACUCCACACUCAAGGAAGCAGAAAGUCCAGAAACUCCCUUGAGAUGGGAGGCCCCCACACUGGAAGAGGCGUCUACUGUCUCUGGUUGCCUUCUGCUCACCCACAGGCCUUUGGGACCUGGCACUGGGCACUCCAGCAGAGGAACUUUGGGAACACCUUCGUCUCCAUCCAAAGCGGGAAGGCAGAAUCACAGAUAAACCUGCAUGUGAGGACACAGGACAUCCAGCCGUUAAAAGGAAUUCACAUGCCUCUACAUCUGAACAGAUCCUAAAGACACUGCUGAAAAACCAGAAGUGUAUGAGUAUAUUCAUACUGACCCCUCCUAAGACCUCACAUGUACUAAGGAAUAAACAUACAAACCUCACAGGAAUGAAAACGGGAGAUCUGCUCUGUAGCAGUUACUACCGAGAAGGACUUGAUUUGGGCCCUGGAAUUGGGAAUGGUGAUAAAGAGGACUUGAAGUUAAAAAAAAAAAAAAAAAGAAAAAAAGACAAAUGUAAAGUUAAUGGUAUUAUUAAGUGAUAUAACUGAAAGUAAACAAUUUUUUUCCAAGAGAUAUGAUGAAUGAUGGCCUAAUCCUCUUUACUGCACUGUUUAGAAAGUAUACUAUUUUAUCCUCUCUUCUCUUUCCCUUUGUCUUUAUCUUGUGGAUAAUUGCAAAUUCAUACCAAUCAGGUAUUGUGAACAACAAGCAGAAAUGAUAUGUUCUGAAAUAUUUGAAAGCUGGGACUCAUUGCACCAAAAAGAAAAUCCAUAAAAUAGUUUUUAUGCUUAUUAAAUGAGGGUGGGUGCAUUUUAGAUAGUCUGCUAACUUCUGGAUUGCUGGAUUUUGUAAUUACUUUUGUUAACAUAAUAAAGACUUUGGUUCUGGCAUGCCUAAAAUGUGCUAGUUAGGAUUUUGCUCUGAAUUUCCAGGCUGGAAUCUGGAUUGUAUAAUCAAAGGCAAGUUUUUCACCUAAAGCAGCGUUGAAAUGUGUUGACUAAUAAAGAUAUCCCUCAAUUAGAAUUAGCUGCAUUUUCUUAAUCCUUUGACUCAGUAUUUACAAGUUUCUCCAGCAAAGCUGUCCCUCUCCUUAGCAGGGGAGGAAAGGAUGAGCCUGAACUCAAAUCUAACGGGG
ensembl:lncRNA